rnacentral:rRNA from 1 species
CAGUACCGUGAGGGAAAGGUGAAAAGCACCCCGGAAGGGGAGUGAAAUAGAACCUGAAACCGUGUGCUUACAAGUAGUCAGAGCCCGUUAAUGGGUGAUGGCGUGCCUUUUGUAGAAUGAACCGGCGAGUUACGAUUUGAUGCAAGGUUAAGCAGUAAAUGUGGAGCCGUAGCGAAAGCGAGUCUGAAUAGGGCGUUUAGUAUUUGGUCGUAGACCCGAAACCAGGUGAUCUACCCUUGGUCAGGUUGAAGUUCAGGUAACACUGAAUGGAGGACCGAACCGACUUACGUUGAAAAGUGAGCGGAUGAACUGAGGGUAGCGGAGAAAUUCCAAUCGAACCUGGAGAUAGCUGGUUCUCUCCGAAAUAGCUUUAGGGCUAGCCUCAAGUGAUGAUUAUUGGAGGUAGAGCACUGUUUGGACGAGGGGCCCCUCUCGGGUUACCGAAUUCAGACAAACUCCGAAUGCCAAUUAAUUUAACUUGGGAGUCAGAACAUGGGUGAUAAGGUCCGUGUUCGAAAGGGAAACAGCCCAGACCACCAGCUAAGGUCCCAAAAUAUAUGUUAAGUGGAAAAGGAUGUGGCGUUGCCCAGACAACUAGGAUGUUGGCUUAGAAGCAGCCAUCAUUUAAAGAGUGCGUAAUAGCUCACUAGUCGAGUGACACUGCGCCGAAAAUGUACCGGGGCUAAACAUAUUACCGAAGCUGUGGAUUGUCCUUUGGACAAUGGUAGGAGAGCGUUCUAAGGGCGUUGAAGCAUGAUCGUAAGGACAUGUGGAGCGCUUAGAAGUGAGAAUGCCGGUGUGAGUAGCGAAAGACGGGUGAGAAUCCCGUCCACCGAUUGACUAAGGUUUCCAGAGGAAGGCUCGUCCGCUCUGGGUUAGUCGGGUCCUAAGCUGAGGCCGACAGGCGUAGGCGAUGGAUAACAGGUUGAUAUUCCUGUACCACCUAUA